ACAUCAGCAAAACCCUCAUUUCAGCUAGCCAAAUUCGUUUCUCCCCAUCCUCCAUUGAAGAACAUUAACAAAUUUUCAAAUUACCAUAACUUCUUCGUUUUUGAUCCGAAUCGAGUGAUUCUUGCGGCCACGGAACAAGAAAAGGAUCCUCUACUGGAUUAUGGAUUCAAUUUGAGUGAAAUUGUGAGCUUACAUGGUGAAUUUUAAUGGUGAUUCUUGGAGCUAGAACCAUUCGGAUUUGAUUAUCAAUCAAGGCCUAGAGAGGCGACUACCAACGGGAACCGGAACGUAUAGAACACGACAUCGCUAUGCUGUUAUUAAAGCGUGUGGAUAGCAAGUUGUGAGUAUACUUUACUCU